UAGCCUAGUGGUUUUGGCAAUGGAUCGCCAAUCCGGAGACGGCGGGUUCGAUUCCCGU
rnacentral:tRNA from 1 species